rnacentral:rRNA from 1 species
AUGAUUCAAAAUGGGUUUCAAUAUCCACAUAAGUUUCUAUGGAAAGUCAAAAUGCCUCCUAAGGUAAAAGUGUUCUUAUGGCUUGUGCUGAGAGAUAGUAUCCUCACCAAAGACAAUUUAAUAAAAAGAGGGUGGCGUGGAGACAGUAAGUGCUCCUUUUGUGGCAGAGAGGACGAUAUUAAUCAUCUUUUUGUAUUGUUCUGUUGCCAGGAUGUUGUGGAUGGUUAUGAAAUGCUCUUUUGGUAUGCAUGA